AGAGUUUGAUCCUGGCUCAGGAUGAACGCUGGCGGCGUGCCUAAUACAUGCAAGUCGAACGCUUCACUUCGGUGAAGAGUGGCGAACGGGUGAGUAAUACAUAAGUAACCUGGCAUCUACAGGGGGAUAACUGAUGGAAACGUCAGCUAAGACCGCAUAGGUGUAGAGAUCGCAUGAACUCUAUAUGAAAAGUGCUACGGGACUGGUAGAUGAUGGACUUAUGGCGCAUUAGCUGGUUGGUAGGGUAACGGCCUACCAAGGCGACGAUGCGUAGCCGACCUGAGAGGGUGACCGGCCACACUGGGACUGAGACACGGCCCAGACUCCUACGGGAGGCAGCAGUAGGGAAUUUUCGGCAAUGGGGGAAACCCUGACCGAGCAACGCCGCGUGAAGGAAGAAGUAAUUCGUUAUGUAAACUUCUGUCAUAGAGGAAGAACGGUGGAUAUAGGGAAUGAUAUCCAAGUGACGGUACUCUAUAAGAAAGCCACGGCUAACUACGUGCCAGCAGCCGCGGUAAUACGUAGGUGGCGAGCGUUAUCCGGAAUUAUUGGGCGUAAAGGGAGCAGGCGGCACUAAGGGUCUGUGGUGAAAGAUCGAAGCUUAACUUCGGUAAGCCAUGGAAACCGUAGAGCUAGAGUGUGUGAGAGGAUCGUGGAAUUCCAUGUGUAGCGGUGAAAUGCGUAGAUAUAUGGAGGAACACCAGUGGCGAAGGCGACGAUCUGGCGCAUAACUGACGCUCAGUCCCGAAAGCGUGGGGAGCAAAUAGGAUUAGAUACCCUAGUAGUCCACGCCGUAAACGAUGAGUACUAAGUGUUGGGAGUCAAAUCUCAGUGCUGCAGUUAACGCAAUAAGUACUCCGCCUGAGU
rnacentral:rRNA from 1 species